GGCCGGUUAUGGGAGCCGGGCUCCCCCCGGGCUGCAAACCCGGCGAGGCUGCCCUAGCGGGCAUCCUGUUCGGUUCGACUCCGAAAACCGGCCUCCA
rnacentral:tRNA from 1 species